GAUGAACGCUGGCGGCGUGCCUAAUACAUGCAAGUCGAGCGAACAGACGAGGAGCUUGCUCCUCUGACGUUAGCGGCGGACGGGUGAGUAACACGUGGAUAACCUACCUAUAAGACUGGGAUAACUUCGGGAAACCGGAGUUAAUACCGGAUAAUAUAUUGAACCGCAUGGUUCAAUAGUGAAAGACGGUUUUGCUGUCACUUAUAGAUGGAUCCGCGCCGCAUUAGCUAGUUGGUAAGGUAACGGCUUACCAAGGCGACGAUGCGUAGCCGACCUGAGAGGGUGAUCGGCCACACUGGAACUGAGACACGGUCCAGGCUCCUACGGGAGGCAGCAGUAGGGAAUCUUCCGCAAUGGGCGAAAGCCUGACGGAGCAACGCCGCGUGAGUGAUGAAGGUCUUCGGAUCGUAAAACUCUGUUAUUAGGGAAGAACAAAUGUGUAAGUAACUAUGCACGUCUUGACGGUACCUAAUCAGAAAGCCACGGCUAACUACGUG
rnacentral:rRNA from 1 species